GACGAACGCUGGCGGCGUGCUUAACACAUGCAAGUCGAACGGACAGACAGAGAGCUUGCUCUCUUGAAGUUAGUGGCGAACGGGUGAGUAACGCGUAAUCAACCUGCCCUUCAGAGGGGGAUAACAACGGGAAACCGUUGCUAAUACCGCGUACGAUUCAUGAACGGCAUCGUUUAUGAAUGAAAGGUGGCCUCUAUGUAUAAGCUAUCGCUGAAGGAGGGGAUUGCGUCUGAUUAGCUAGUUGGAGGGGUAACGGCCCACUAAGGCAAUGAUCAGUAGCCGGUCUGAGAGGAUGAACGGCCACAUUGGGACUGAGACACGGCCCAAACUCCUACGGGAGGCAGCAGUGGGGAAUCUUCCGCAAUGGACGAAAGUCUGACGGAGCAAUGCCGCGUGAGUGAUGAAGGUCUUCGGAUUGUAAAGCUCUGUUAAUCGGGACGAAAGAGUUCUGCGUGAAUAAUGCAGAAAAGUGACGGUACCGGAAUAGGAAGCCACGGCUAACUACGUGCCAGCCGCCGCCGUAA
rnacentral:rRNA from 1 species